rnacentral:rRNA from 1 species
GCCAGAGCCAUAUCUUGCCUGCUUUCCCACUGAUGUUAAGCAGGGUUGAGUCUGGCCAGUACCUGGAUGAGAGACCUCCUGGGGAAAACUAAGGUUGCUGCUGGAA